CCUACGGGAGGCAGCAGUGGGGAAUCUUCCGCAAUGGGCGAAAGCCUGACGGAGCAACGCCGCGUGAGUGAUGACGGCCUUCGGGUUGUAAAACUCUGUGAUCCGGGACGAAAAGGCAGAGUGCGAAGAACAAACUGCAUUGACGGUACCGGAAAAGCAAGCCACGGCUAACUACGGGCCAGAAGCCGCGGUAAUACGUAGGUGGCAAGCGUUGUCCGGAAUUCUUGGGCGUAAAGCGCGCGCAGGCGGCUUCCCAAGUCCCUCUUAAAAGUGCGGGGCUUAACCCCGUGAUGGGAAGGAAACGGGGAAGCUGGAGUAUCGGAGAGGAAAGUGGAAUUCCUAGUGUAGCGGUGAAAUGCGUAGAGAUUAGGAAGAACACCGGUGGCGAAGGCGACUUUCUGGACGAAAACUGACGCUGAGGCGCGAAAGCGUGGGGAGCAAACAGGAUUAGAUACCCGAGUAGUC
rnacentral:rRNA from 1 species